rnacentral:rRNA from 1 species
UGGAUUAGUGGCGAACGGGUGAGUAACACGUGAGUAACCUGCCCCUGACUCUGGGAUAAGCGUUGGAAACGACGUCUAAUACUGGAUAUGAUCACUGGCCGCAUGGUCUGGUGGUGGAAAGAUUUUUUGGUUGGGGAUGGACUCGCGGCCUAUCAGCUUGUUGGUGAGGUAAUGGCUCACCAAGGCGACGACGGGUAGCCGGCCUGAGAGGGUGACCGGCCACACUGGGACUGAGACACGGCCCAGACUCCUACGGGAGGCAGCAGUGGGGAAUAUUGCACAAUGGGCGAAAGCCUGAUGCAGCAACGCCGCGUGAGGGAUGACGGCCUUCGGGUUGUAAACCUCUUUUAGUAGGGAAGAAGCGAAAGUGACGGUACCUGCAGAAAAAGCACCGGCUAACUACGUGCCAGCAGCCGCGGUAAUACGUAGGGUGCAAGCGUUGUCCGGAAUUAUUGGGCGUAAAGAGCUCGUAGGCGGUUUGUCGCGUCUGCUGUGAAAUCCCGAGGCUCAACCUCGGGCUUGCAGUGGGUACGGGCAGACUAGAGUGCGGUAGGGGAGAUUGGAAUUCCUGGUGUAGCGGUGGAAUGCGCAGAUAUCAGGAGGAACACCGAUGGCGAAGGCAGAUCUCUGGGCCGUAACUG